GGACUGUCCCUUUAACCCAUUAAACAUGUCACCGUCAUUAGGUCACUGUGCUCCUACAUGGGACUGUCCCUUUAACCCAUUAAACAUGUCACUGUCAUUAGGUCACUUUGCUCCUACAUGGGACUGUCCCUUUAACCCAUUAAACAUAUCACUGUCAUUAGGUCACUGUGCUCCUACAUGGGACUGUCCCUUUAACCCAUUAAACAUGUCACUGUCAGGUCACUUUGUUCCUACAUGGGACUGUCCCUUUAACCCAUUAAACAUGUCACUGUUAUUAGGUCACUGUGCUCCUACAUGGGACUGUCCCUUUAACCCAUUAAACAUGUCGCUGUCAUUAGGUCAAUUUGUUCCUACAUGGGACUGUCUUUUUAACCCAUUAAACAUGUCACUGUCAUUGGGUCACUUUGUUCCUACAUGGGACUGUCCCUUUAACCCAUUAAACACGUCGCUGUCAUUGGGUCACUUUGCUCCUACAUGGGACUGCCCCUUUAACCCAUUAAACAUGUCACUGUCAUUAGGUCACUUUGCUCGUACAUGGGACUGUUCCUUUAACCCAUUAAACAUGUCACUGUUAUUAGGUCACUUUGUUCCUACAUGGGACUGUCCCUUUAACACAUUAAAAUUGUCACUGUAAAUAGGUCACUUUGCUCUUACAUAGGACUGUCCGUUUAACCCAUUAAACAUGUCACUGUCAUUAGAUCACUGUGCUCCUACAUGGGACUGUCCCUU